UGGGGAAUAUUGGACAAUGGGCGAAAGCCUGAUCCAGCAACGCCGCGUGAGGGAUGACGGCCUUCGGGUUGUAAACCUCUUUCAGCAGGGGCGAAGCGCAAGUGACGGUACCUGCAGAAGAAGCACCGGCCAACUACGUGCCAGCAGCCGCGGUAAUACGUAGGGUGCGAGCGUUGUCCGGAAUUAUUGGGCGUAAAGGGCUCGUAGGCGGUUUGUCACGUCGGGAGUGAAAACUCGGGGCUUAACCCGAGCCUGCUUCCGAUACGGGCUGACUAGAGGUAUGCAGGGGAGAACGGAAUUCCUGGUGUAGCGGUGAAAUGCGCAGAUAUCAGGAGGAACACCGGUGGCGAAGGCGGUUCUCUGGGCAUUACCUGACGCUGAGGAGCGAAAGUGGUGGGAGCGAACAGGAUUAGAUACCCUGGUAGUCCACACCGUAAACGUUGGGACGCGUAGGUGUGGGA
rnacentral:rRNA from 1 species